ensembl:lncRNA
AGGAGGAGGAGCAGGUAGAGGAGGAGGAGCAGGUUGAGGAGGUGGUAGAGGAGGAGGAGGUCGAGGAGCAGGUCAAUGAGGAGUUAGAGGAGGUGGUAGAGGAGCAGGUAGAUCAGGAGGAGGUAGAGGAGGAGGAGGAGCAGGUAGAGGAGCAGGAGGAGGAGCAGGUAUAGGAUCAGGUAGAGGAGGUGGUAGAGGAGGAGGUCGAGGAGCAGGUCAAUGUGGAGGUCGAGCAGGAGGAGGUCGAGGAGGAGGUAGAGGAGCAGGUAGGUGAGGAGGAGGUAGAGUAGGAGGAGGAGCAGGUUGAGGAGGAGGAGGAGGUCGAGGAGGUGGUAGAGGAGGGGUAACAGGAGGAGAAGGAGGAGAAGGAGCAGGUCGAGGAGGUGGUAGAGGAGGGGUUAGAGGAGGAGGUAGAGGAGGAGGAGGAGCAGGUCGAGGAG